GCGUCCAUGGUGCAGUGGUAGCAUUUCCGUUUUGGGUACGGGAGGUCCUGGGUUCAAACCCCAGUGGACGCC